rnacentral:rRNA from 1 species
GUCGAGCGGGCGUAGCAAUACGUCAGCGGCAGACGGGUGAGUAACGCGUGGGAACGUACCUUUUGGUUCGGAACAACACAGGGAAACUUGUGCUAAUACCGAAUAAGCCCUUACGGGGAAAGAUUUAUCGCCGAAAGAUCGGCCCGCGUCUGAUUAGCUAGUUGGUGAGGUAACGGCUCACCAAGGCGACGAUCAGUAGCUGGUCUGAGAGGAUGAUCAGCCACAUUGGGACUGAGACACGGCCCAAACUCCUACGGGAGGCAGCAGUGGGGAAUAUUGGACAAUGGGCGCAAGCCUGAUCCAGCCAUGCCGCGUGAGUGAUGAAGGCCCUAGGGUUGUAAAGCUCUUUUGUGCGGGAAGAUAAUGACGGUACCGCAAGAAUAAGCCCCGGCUAACUUCGUGCCAGCAGCCGCGGUAAUACGAAGGGGGCUAGCGUUGCUCGGAAUCACUGGGCGUAAAGGGUGCGUAGGCGGGUCUUUAAGUCAGGGGUGAAAUCCUGGAGCUCAACUCCAGAACUGCCUUUGAUACUGAAGAUCUUGAGUUCGGGAGAGGUGAGUGGAACUGCGAGUGUAGAGGUGAAAUUCGUAGAUAUUCGCAAG